UUUCAUAUACCUCAAACAAAUCAGAAGUGUUUCAGCACUUCAAAAGUUUUUUCUUUUUGUUAUUUUUUCUUUUUGAAAAAUAACGCACCGAUUUGCCAGCUGUGAAACGGAAUUCUAGCCGCUCAAAGCAACAAAUCACCAUGGACGGAUACUCUCAAUAUAACAAUUCCCAGUUCGGCUCCAGGCAAUGCUUUAAUUGUCCGAACGGCAAUUGUUCCCGCAUGGGUGGAUCACCGCCAUCGGGUUGCCCCGGUGGCAAUUGCUGUCCUGGUGGCUUUUGUAUGCGCGACAGACCCAUUGCACAGCCAUCGUGGCAUACGAACCAUGGACGUCAGCAAUAAGGAGCUGGACGCAUCCAUUUCUGGCAAAUCGGCGCGUGAUUUCAACUAAAUAGAAUCGCACAUUCUGAAUCAGACACAUCUCUCAUCACUGGAUGGCAACUUUGUUUAGUCAAUAAGAUACACUUUUUUUAAUGGACCAAAAACGUUAACAACACAACGACACAGAGCACACAACACAUACACAUUAUUACAUAUGUAUGUGGAUCUCAUGGGAGAAAAGAAUAAAAACUAUGGAAUUUA
rnacentral:sRNA from 1 species